rnacentral:rRNA from 1 species
GGAGGGAUCAUUAACGAGUUCCAUUCUCCUUAAUACACCCGUGAACGUUUCUUUUCAACUGUUCGUUGCUUCGGCGGGCGGCCCCGGGGAGGGGCCGCAGCCCGCAAGGGCGCCCGCCGGCGGCAGCGCAGCACAACUCUUGCGAUUUAGGCCCCUCUGAGAAGACACUAAAUGAGUCAAAACUUUCAACAACGGAUCUCUUGGUUCUGGCAUCGAUGAAGAACGCAGCGAAAUGCGAUAAGUAAUGUGAAUUGCAGAACUCAGCGAAUCAUCGAAUCUUUGAACGCACAUUGCGCCCGCCGGCAUUCCGGCGGGCAUGCCUGUUCGAGCGUCAUUUCAACCCUCGAGCCCUGCUCGGUGUUGGGGCCCCGCGGCCGCCGCGGGCCCUGAAAAGAAGUGGCGGGCGCGCCUGGACCCGUAGCGCAGUAAUACACCUCGCUCGCGGCGUCCCGGCGCGUGCCGGCCGUAAAACCCCUUUAUCUCAAGGUUGACCUCGGAUCAGGUAGGAAACCCGCUGAACUUAA